CAACCUGUGACCUCAUUUCCUCUUUAACAACAGAGUAUGAUUUCAAAGGCUGGGACUUACUGUAAGCUCCACUAACUCAACAUGACUAGGGCUUUUAUAGCAUUGAUUCUGUUACUGCACUGGAGCCAAGGCACCGAGGGUGAAGACGAUGUGGUUCAAAAGCCUGAAAUUAUUUGGGAACCAAAGAACGGUUCCGCUUCUUUAAAUUGCAAACACAAUAAGGGUGCUUCCUACUACCAGAUGUACUGGUACCGACAGCGUCCAGGAGAGACUAUGACACUCAUUGUAUUUACUAUGGUUGGCAGUCAACCAGACUUCGGAGAGGUUGAUAACAAGAAAUUCGAAGCUCAGAAAAGUAACGCUGAAAGCGGAUCUUUGAAAGUGACCGCUCUAGAGCCAGAUGACAGUGCCUUAUAUUUCUGCGCAGUGAGUCAACACACUGUGUCAAAGACUGGGGAGUGCUGUACAAAAACAAAAAAAAACAGAAAAUGACAGCAUUAGUCAACAGGUGGCGGUCUGGGACAACCAAUGUGCCACGUGUCAAAAUUGAGUUAGUUUACUUCAUUAAAAUAUUAUUCUGAAAUCAGAGGAUUCCUGCUGAUUUAAUAUGUAGUUUUAUAUUAGUAAAUAAUAUUAAUGUUUAUAUAUGUUCAGUGUUAAAUGCAAAUUAUCAUUUAUAGACAGUAAAACACUUAUACAAAGUAAAUUUAUAACUUUUUUCAUAUCCAAAUGGAGCUAUUUUUAUGUCCUGCCAGCUGUUGAAUUAUUGAUCAACAGGGGGCAGUGUGAUUUAAGAAAUUAAAAUUUUAUCUGCAAAGCAAAUCAAAACACAUACACAGUAGCUGCACAUCAUUUAUGAUCUUCAUACCUUUGUAGAGAGGAACCUUAGUUUUUAAGUCUGUAUCACAGUCCUCAUACUUCAUUAGGUCUUGCAUUAUGAACACUCUUCAUAAUAUAUUUAUAUAUCUAACAAUGUUGACAGGUACGUAUAACAAUAUUUACUUUACGUACAUUACACAUAGUUUUUAAGUCUAAUUUUUUUUUCUUCUUCACAGCUGUCUGUCUUGGUAAAACUGUUCUCCAGACACCCGAUACACUUUCGAAGAAGCAAAGUGAAUUUGCUGUGAUUGUAUGCGCUCACAAUAUACCGAGCUAUGACCGAAUAUUGUGGUACAAACAAAGUCGUGAUGUGUUGGGC